rnacentral:rRNA from 1 species
CCAGACUCCUACGGGAGGCAGCAGUGGGGGAUAUUGCACAAUGGGGGAAACCCUGAUGCAGCGACGCCGCGUGUGGGAAGACGGUCCUCUGGAUUGUAAACCACUGUCCCCAGGGACGAAGAUGACGGUACCAUAGGAGGAAGCCCCGGCUAACUACGUGCCAGCAGCCGCGGUAAUACGUAGGGGGCGAGCGUUGUCCGGAAUUACUGGGCGUAAAGAGAGCGUAGGCGGCACUACAAGUCUCAUGUGAAAUACCCGGGCUUAACUUGGGGGUUGCAUGGGAAACUGUAGAGCUUGAGUACAGGAGAGGCAAGCGGAAUUCCUAGUGUAGCGGUGAAAUGCGUAGAUAUUAGGAGGAACACCAGUGGCGAAGGCGGCCUGCUGGACGAUGACUGACGUUGAGGCUCGAAAGCGUGGGGAGCAAACAGGAUUAGAUACCCUCGUA